rnacentral:lncRNA from 1 species
GGAAAACAGAUGUUGAAGGAUGGAAAAUUCUGCCCAUACGUCGUGAAGAGCUCACUUGGGAAGUUUCCUAACGCAGAGAUAAAUUAGGAAGCAGAUCCUGGUGCCGGAUCUUGGUAUACAAGUUUGUUUCCGAAGAGCCCAGGGUUGAAAAUUAACUUCAGGACAAAACACCGCAGUCCAGAAGAGUGGUGGUGGUAGCCAGAGGCUUUUUUCUUCGGAUGACAAAACUGAUGGGGCAGGAUGUGGCAGCCCAACUGUGUGCCUGUGCUCCAGGCUAACUAGUUUUCCUGGGUUUGGAUCCUGUGUUCAGAGACCCACUGGGUUGUUUGACCAAGAAAGGCUCCGUUUUCCCUCUUCCAGAGGGAGCAAUCACGUGCCCUCACCAGAACAAGCCGGAGUCCUCGGCCCUGCAUGCAAUCUGAUUUCUCUCAGGUGAGAGGUAUUCUGUAGAUGGAAAGUCAAGGGAAAAAUGUGGCUUUAGCAAUGCUGUAGGGACUGUGGUCAGCGCUGAGCUUAUAAAGGCCUUUGUUUUCCAUGUUUUGAUUGGCCCCGGGAAGAGCCUGGAGCAGCCCGCACACCAUCUGCGUCCACGUUCGUGGGACUAUGAAGUGCUGACACAGGACUGCAGCUCGG